AUACGUAGGGUGCGAGCGUUGUCCGGAAUUACUGGGCGUAAAGAGCUCGUAGGUGGUUUGUCGCGUCGUCUGUGAAAUUCCGGGGCUUAACUCCGGGCGUGCAGGCGAUACGGGCAUAACUUGAGUACUGUAGGGGAGACUGGAAUUCCUGGUGUAGCGGUGAAAUGCGCAGAUAUCAGGAGGAACACCGGUGGCGAAGGGGGCUCUCUGGGCAGUAACUGACGCUGAGGAGCGAAAGCAUGGGUAGCGAACAGGAUUAGAUACCCUGGUAGUCCAUGCCGUAAACGGUGGGAGCUGGGUGUAGGGGUCUACCACGAGUUCUGUGCCGUAGCUAACGCAUUAAGCGCCCCGCCUGGGGAGUACGGCCGCAAGGCUAAAACUCAAAGGAAUUGACGGGG
rnacentral:rRNA from 1 species